rnacentral:rRNA from 1 species
UACGUAGGGUGCAAGCGUUGCCCGGAUUUAUUGGGCGUAAAGGGCGCGUAGGCGGCCACGCACGUCCGUUGUGAAAUCGCCCGGCUCAACUGGGCGGGGUCGGCGGAUACGGCGUGGCUGGAGCAAGCUAGGGGGCAAUGGAAUUCCUGGUGUAGCGGUGGAAUGCGCAGAUAUCAGGAAGAACACCCGUGGCGAAGGCGCUCUCUGGAACGCAACUGACGCUGAGACGCGAAAAGCGUGGGGGAGCAAAACAGG